ACACACAUACUCAAUAGUUAUAUGAUGAAAUUUGACAUGAUCAUGUUUCUUUUACAAUUGAGCCCUUGAUUAAUUCACACCCUAUGUUUUUUUCAACCUUUAUCUACCCAAUUUUCCAUGAUUCAAGUGUUUUUCAUUCCAUGUUUGAGUUGUUUACUAUGUUUAUGUCAAGUUCAAUUAAUCAAAAUGAACAUGGUUAAUUUUCUGGCAUUGAUUGUCAAGAAAUUUCAUUGUUUGGUCUUGUUUUCUUUCUCUCUAAUUCUGCCACCUUUCAAAAUUGCUAUCAGCUAACUUUUUGCAAUCCCAAAUUGACAUCCCAUGAAACAGCUAGCUAUGUUCUGUUUUUUUUAGGUUCCUUCUGUUUUUAUUGAAAUCAAAUCGCACACUUUUUUCUUCUUUGACGGGUGUAAGCUCGUUCAUUAAAUGAUUUUGAAGAGGUUCAAACUUAUGUCAUCACCCUAUUAUAGGUUUUAACUUUUAAUUUGUCUACCACCUAUGACUUAUGACUCCGUUUUGGUUGUCUUGUUCGGUACUUCUAAAUAUUUACUAGAUAUAUGUAGCGAAAUACUAGGUUUUGGUUGUCUACCACCUAUGACUUAUGACUCCGUUUUGGUUGUCUUGUUCGGUACUUCUAAAUAUUAGGUACUACUUAGGCACUUAAUUUUUGUCAAUUAUUUGGAUACUUGUUGAAUAUAUUUUAACCAAAACUUAAUUUUUUUAAUCAGCUUUUAUUCCUGUUGCAUUCGUAUCUGGUACCGCCGUACCGGUGCAACAU
rnacentral:lncRNA from 1 species